GCUUAACCUGGUUGAUCCUGCCAGUAGUCAUAUGCUUGUCUCAAAGAUUAAGCCAUGCAUGUCUAAGCACAAGCCGAUUAAUGGUGAAGCCGCGAAUGGCUCAUUACAACAGCCAUAGUUUCUUAGAUCUUACUUUUCUACUUGGAUAACUGUGGUAAUUCUAGAGCUAAUACACGCAAACAAGCUCAGACCUUACGGAAUGAGCGCAUUUAUUAGAACAAAAACCAAUCGGACCUCGGUCCGUCAUUUGGUGAAUCUGAAUAACUUUGCUGAUCGCACGGUCAUCGUACCGGCGACAUAUCUUUCAAAUGUCUGCCUUAUCAACUUUCGAUGGUAGUUUAUGCGCCUACCAUGGUUGUAACGGGUAACGGAGAAUAAGGGUUCGACUCCGGAGAGGGAGCCUGAGAAACGGCUACCACAUCCAAGGAAGGCAGCAGGCACGCAAAUUACCCACUCCCAGCACGGGGAGGUAGUGACGAAAAAUAACGAGACGGCUCGCUAUGCGGUCCGUCAUCGGAAUGGGUACAAUUUAAAUCCUUUAACGAGGAUCUAUUGGAGGGCAAGUCUGGUGCCAGCAGCCGCGGUAAUUCCAGCUCCAAUAGCAUAUAUUAAAGUUGUUGCGGUUAAAACGCCCGUAGUUGGAUCAGCGGACGUGGACGAACGGUCUCCCGAUGGGCUGUACUGUUCUCCUGUCCUAAUCAAUGUCUAGUUCGCUCUAGGUGCUCUUCACUGAGUGUCUAGAGUGGCUGGAACUUUUACUUUGAAAAAAUUAGAGUGCUCAAAGCAGGCGUCUCAGCCUGAAUAGUGGUGCACGGAAUAAUGGAAUAGGACCUCAGUUCUAUUUUGUUGGUUUUCGGAGCAUGAGGUAAUGAUUAAGAGGGACAGACGGGGGCAUUCGUAUUGCGACGUUAGAGGUGAAAUUCUUGGAUCGUCGCAAGACGAACUACUGCGAAAGCAUUUGCCAAGAAUGUUUUCAUUAAUCAAGGACGAUAGUUAGAGGUUCGAAGGCGAUCAGAUACCGCCCUAGUUCUAACCGUAAACGAUGUCAACCAGCGAUCCGCAGGAGUUAUUCAUGACUCUGCGGGCAGCUUCCGGGAAACCAAAGUUUUUGGAUUCCGGGGGGAGUAUGGUUGCAAAGCUGAAACUUAAAGGAAUUGACGGAAGGGCACCACCAGGAGUGGAGCCUGCGGCUUAAUUUGACUCAACGCGGGGAAACUCACCCGGCCCGGGCACCGUAAGGAUUGACAGAUUGAGAGCUCUUUCUUGAUUCGGUGGGUGGUGGUGCAUGGCCGUUCUUAGUUGGUGGAGCGAUUUGUCUGGUUAAUUCCGAUAACGAACGAGACUCUAGCCUACUAAAUAGAAGGCAAAUCAUUCGUUUGCUGUACUUCUUAGAGGGACUAGGGGCGUCUAGCCUCACGAGAUUGAGCAAUAACAGGUCUGUGAUGCCCUUAGAUGUCCGGGGCCGCACGCGCGCUACACUGAAGGAUUCAGCAAGUGUUCAGCCUGGUCUGAGAAGAUCGGGUAACCUAAUGAAACUCCUUCGUGGUUGGGAUAGGGACUUGUAAUUAUUUCCCUUGAACGAGGAAUUCCUAGUAAGUGCGGGUCAUCAUCUCGCGUUGAUUACGUCCCUGCCCUUUGUACACACCGCCCGUCGCUACUAUCGAGUGAUGAGUUAUCCAGAUUCUCGGACUGGCUCCUUGGCGGCUUCACGGCUGCCAUCGUGGCUUGGAAAGAGACUCUAGAUCAUUUAUCGCAAGAAAGUAAAAGUCGUAACAAGGUAGCCGUAAGC
rnacentral:rRNA from 1 species